ACAGAGGAGAAGCAGGUUAGCAGGUGCCCCACCCCACGCCUGCAGGGGCUCCGGCCGCCCCCCUGUGCUCCCCCUCCCCCAGAGGGGCCACCAGUGCACCACAGAGCUGCCCUCUGUCCGCCACCGUGUUAGCCCAGGAAGGGGACCCAGGUGGGUGCAGCCCCUGGCCGGUGAUGGGGAAUGGCCGUAGGCAUGGGGGUCGGGACGCCUUCCCCUGGGAAGCAGCAUUCGAGCCAGGGAGGGGCCUGAGGAGCUGCUGAGGGAUGUGUGGGAGAGGAAAGGCCUGGGCUCCAGCCUGGACACGCUCCCCAGGCCCCUGACCCUCAACACGCUGAGUGUUGGCUCGAUGCAUUUAAAGACUGCACUGUUGGUUGCUGACUCUGUACCGGCUGCGUGGACGUUCUCUCCCGGCUGGGGGUGUCCUGGACGCCCCCAUUCGUGUGUUUUGUCUCAUGCAGUUCUGAGUGGACUUGGUCUCUCCAGCCCUUUACCUGCAGCCCUGUGUGCGCCUGCCGCGAGCAAGCGUAUCUCUGGCUUUCCUCCCCAGUAAUUUUUUUCUUUUCUAUUGCGGUAAAAUCAGUGAACAGCUCAGUGCCGUGAAGCACAUUCACAUUGUUUUGACACCGUCACCACCAACUGGCCCCAGGAUUUCCAGUCAUUUAUUGAGCUUCUCUGUCCUGUUUCCCAAAGCCCGGUCAGCUCUGAGACGGUGAGUGUCUCCUGCCGUUCUCCUUGCUUCCAGCCCAUCUUCCCGCCCCCCCACCAGGCGUGGGAGGGGACCCGCUUCCCAUGUGGAUUCCAGAGCUCCCCUUCCUGCGCGUCCGGCCACCCUCUGACCGUCUCACCCCACGCCCUGGCCCUGCGUCAAAAACGUAUCUGCUCUCCUGAUCUGGCGCCUUAUUUGUGGUUUCCAAGUGAAAGGAAAGCUCAGGAUUGCUUACUGAGCAGCAACGUGGUUUAGGAGCCAAGACUACAGACUCCGGAGCCAGAAAUCCCAGCCCUGCCGUGGACCCGCCGUGACACUCUGGACAAGCUGCUUGGGCCCUCAGUGCCACGUCCUCCCUCACGGGGAUGAAGCCGUGAGAGGGGUCGUGUCGGCGCCAUGCCAUGUCCGUCCGCAGUGACUGUUGAUUACUGUCGGUCCCCAAAGAAGCUCUCAGUGAGUACAGUCGCCCUUCAGAAGAAACUGUUCAUUAAAUCAGGAGUAAAUAACGCA